rnacentral:rRNA from 1 species
GCCAUGCCACCCUGAACAAGCCCGAUCCCGUCUGAUCUCGGAAGCUAAGCAGGGUCGGGCCUGGUUAGUACUUGGAUGGGAGACCACCUAGGAAGACCAAGUGCUGUAGGCG